rnacentral:lncRNA from 1 species
GAGAAAUAUACCUUCUUUUGUUCUUCUGGUUAAAAAAAAACCGACCUUUUAUAUUGUUAUAGGGAAAUUAGCAGGAGCAAGAGCAAUGCUGCAAGGCAGAAGCAGGAAGGUUCCAGAACUCUGGAGAAGUGACAGGGUUGUUGCUUCUUCUGAGAGAGACAGUUGAGCAGCCAGGAGGUUGAGUUUCUGUUUAGAUAUUCUCUAUCCUGUGGCUUUCCUUGUGAUCCAACCUGUUCCUGUGUAUCCUGUGGACUGUCUGAGAUAUUCCUGCAGAGCUUCUUGAGACACCUAAGCCAUCUAUAAUUGGCAUUGGGGAGAGUUUAUCUGUUCCAGAUGAAUUCACCAAAGAGGACAAAGUCACUGGCCAGAGGUUUAGACAGGUGUUGACUGGAGCAAUUGUACAACUCCUUGAGAAUGCCUGAAGAUCAUAAUGCAGGUGAGUUCAUGGUUCACUGUUUGCUGCUAUACAAAGGAAUCAUUUCAGAUUUAUUUGCACUAUUCCUGCCAGGAGAAACAUGGAGAGUUCCAACUAGGUCUUCACAGAGGUCAUGCCAAUUCAUAUUAAUCAUAAAUGAUCAGCAGAGCUAAGUCAAAGGCUAUUUGAAAUGAAUCUUGAAGACAAGCUAGGUAAGGCAUCAGCUUCUGUCCUCUUCCAGAGGAGUUAUAACUGGGCUACAUCUAAUGGUUUUGGCAAUUUGUCUGAUACCCUUCUGAUCAAUUGCUUUUUGCAGCUUGCUGAAAGAAAGGGUUUCAUACACAAGGACUUUUUGCUAUUCUACAGCAGUGUUCUGGGAGAUUUUGUCCCUGCAAUGACCAGGAGCUCUUCUUUGAGCUCAAACUUUACCAUCAUCAAAAAUGAAUCUCAAGAGUGAAUUUGAGAAUAUGUUGAAGGAAGCAGGAACCUUUUCCCUUUUAGGAAUGUAAUUAAAAUUGUAUCUGAGACAUAAUUAAAUUCAGUCCACAUGAAAAGGUACUUACUAUAUUAUUAUUAUUGCCUGUGGAAUUUAUUAACAAAUAAUGAUUGCAUUUUUUUAGUCCUUAGGUCUAUUUUCACAAAAACAAAGAACAUGGUUGUUAAUAUAAACAAAAACCGCUUUGUUUUUUCUCUAUAGACAUUUUUGUUAGUAAUGGUCACAGAUGGCUUCUGGAAUAAACCCCUUAUUAGUCAAGAUUACA